CGCGGUGCUAUAGCGGGGCAAGGUACGCCUCUCCGACGCCGCAGCCACCACAGCACAAGAUCGUGGUGGUUAAAGAACAGCAUGACGAAAUUGUAAACAGUUAUUUUCGGGAAUAGAAAAAAAAAUAGAAAAGGAAUUAAACAGAAAGGAUUUUUUUUAUUAGUAGUAUUGAAAAGUAAGAGCAAAAAAAAUAAAAAAAAAAAGUGAUUUCAGAGAAUUACUGCGAGUGAUUUAAGUGCCUCCCUUAUUUCCUUCCCCUUAAAGAUAUAUUUAGAAAGGAAAAAAAGAAAAAGAAAAUUGGAAAGUAAGGCAGAAUCGAGAGAGGGAGAGAAUAAUCAUUAAGUAUAAUAAAAACGGAGAGAGAGAGAGAUCUUUUUUCGCUCAAGAACAAGAAUGUAAAUUUCGGCUCAGGGUCGUGGUAUCUUCGCUCGGAAUAACAGGUACGACAGGUGGCAGGAUGUCGAAACACAUGAAGGUCAGUCCAGAUAAAGGAGAGAGUAAGAGAGAGUGAGAAAGAGAGGUAGAGAAGCAGGGAGAGUGAGAGUGAGUGAGGGAGAGAGAGAGAGAGAGAGAGAGAGAGAGAGAGAGAGAGAGAGAGAGUGAGACAGAGAGAGAGAGACAGAGAGAGAGAGAGAGAGAGAGAGAGAGAGAGAGAGAGAGAGAGAGAGAGAGAGAGAGAGAGAGAGAGAGAGGAAGAGAGAGUUAGAAAGAGUGAGAAAGAGAGGUAGAGAAGCAGGGAGAGUGAGAGUUAGAGAGAGAGAAAGGGAAAG